rnacentral:lncRNA from 1 species
AUCCUUUUGGUGUAUAAUAUCAGCAUGUAAAGUAAAUGUUUUGAAUCCUGUGUGACAGAUGAACUUGUGCAAUGAUUUUGUACAUGGAUGUAACUGUCUAAGUUCUGUGCUUUGUUCUCUGAUUACAAAUUUUUUAUUUUCUGUGCUUUCUCCUAGAAAAAGGAUGGAAAACAAGUUUUUAGUCGAGGCCUACUGCAGUUGGAGGGGUGUCUUCUUUUGUGAUCUUGGACACCUGAAUUAUCUGUGGAGUUGCAAAAUAUUUCAGAGGGUUUGGAAUUUGUUAAUUCAGUAUAUUGGCUACCAUACAAAGCUCUCAAACUAGUAAUGUAUGCACAAAAAAGUAAUCUUCCUGAUACUAGGGCUGGUACAAUUAUCAUAUAGUCGUGUAACCGACAGUUAUGGACAAUAACCGUGAACCAAAACAAACAGUCGUCAUAAUCCUCUUAAUACAUUCAUUUUAGGAGAAGGGGGAUUUAACUUUAUAUUCAAGAACAUUAAGUGGGUAAAGUUGGCAAUCAUUUUAUGAGCAGAUCGGCACGGUCAGGAGUAGGAGAUUCCUUUUCAAAGGUUCCAAGCGGUCAAAACCAUACGUUUUUUAGACAGGGGUGUCAACAAAGCUGUGUUGUAUUCGUUAGGUAAAGAUGCAUUGGAAGCCCAAAACAUUAUUCUACAAAUCACAAUCAUGACAAUAACUACCAUUUGCAUGACAAUUAAUCAUUACCCCAAAUUCCAUAAUGCUCACACCGUCAAUAGUAAGUACUGUCUUGUCUUUAGUAUCAUUAAAGGUGAAGACAGUUAUUUUAUCAAAUCAAUUCUCUGUAAUUAUUAUUACGUGAUUAAACUAAUCAUGUACAUUAAUUAACUAGGAAGUUGGUGCACCACGGAAAAUGUUCAGAUUACAAAGUUAUAAUUUUCUGAAUAUAACUCUUUUUAAAAUAUUUUAAUAUCUGAUCAAAUAGUCUUCUAUUAAUUAAUUAUUAUUACCUUCGUCAGUCUCAUCUGGACGUUGUAAAUGAUUGGUUAUCUGGACGAACCCAGCCUUUACUAUAAAUCAUCCAUACACCAAUUGGCUCAAUUAUUUAUUUACUAACUAAUUAAGCAGUUACAGAGUAUACAAUACAUAAUAACAUUAUACAGUAAAAUACCGUCGCUUGUGGACUAAACAAGACAAAACAGUUUGGUUAUAACACCGUAAAUUCAGAGAGAAGAGAAGGGGGUUUUGGAAGGAAGUCUAAGGAAUUGGUCUUUAUCGGACCUGGGAAGCUAUUCUUGCAUAAAUACAUAUGCCACUAACAAUCGCUCAUUCGGAAAAGCAAUGCAUUGUAUUUACUUGAAGCUGGUUUGCCCAGUCGAUGUCGCCCUGUCCUUUGUGGAAUCUUCCGGGUCGUUGUGUGAGAAGUUCACGUGGUCUGAGAGGUUAAUCUCACUCUGGAGAUUCGUCCACGUCGGUCAGUGUUCUCGUACUAGAUUUGCAACUUUUCCAGCUGCAGUCUGUUAGGCUGUCAUCUAGGACUCACUUCUUCUUAAAUGAUCAAUAGUUCAGAGUUCAUACCAUUUCACGUGUAGAACAAGCUCCCACGUUUCCUGGCCUGUAUGGUUGACAUUAGAAUUAGCCCUUUUAAACGUGAGGACAAAUCCUUACGGUAUUCAGAAAUUGACGUGACUUUGGGUCACAGGGCUUUUAUAGAAAUGUAGAAAAGGGGUUGGUUCAUAAUUUCCAACCAAUGCCUAUUCACUUGGGCAUGGCUACUGACUUAGUUAAACUUGACAGGGAAGACGAUUUAUUCAUUUUAAAGGUUAACAUCAAAUAACAUCAUUUCGCAAAUAGUUUAAUCUUUACUCAUUCAUUUUAUACAAUAAUUAGAUGCAAACCUCAUAACUGAGGCACCUGUAUAAACAGAGUUAGGCUAACGUGGCUGUAUUGUCUUUCAUGAGGUCACAAUCAUGAAACAAAAUGGACCGGGUCGUAGCUGGCUUCUCCACCGACCGUUUACACAUUCUCCAAAAUAGGAAUAUUGUUUAAUUCUCAAAUUCUGGGAUGUAGUAGAAUUGGGCGGGAGAAUCCCUUUGUCUUACUGUGAAAAUCUCUAUACUGCAUGGUCAGGGAGAGAGGAGUCUCUGGUAUUUACGAAGUGGUUGUGAGGUCGUAAAACUGCUCUCCCCUCCUAACAGUAGGGGGGGUUGUUUACAUCUCUGCUAGCCAGUUCACUGAAAGGGCUAGCGUCAUGACAGUAGUGUUAUGAUAUCAUAUAAUAAAAUAUAUUGUUGCGUGCGGCCUUAACCCAAUACCUGGACACCUCGUGAAGAGGUUUGGCCCAAUGGGAAUAUACGGGACAGUAGUGGAGUUAGUGACUGACAGAUCUGCUUAGAGGGCUCGGUCUGUUUAGCGUAACGAUUUUUUUCAAAUUUGGGUCGUGAGAGGUUUUGAAUGGGUCUUGGGUGUUGAGUAUCAACAAAAAACAUUUGGAAGUAAUGUAUUGUGUGCUAAUUUGCAUAAAUUAGCAUACAAUAAAUCACCAACAGUAACUCUUGAACCGUUCAAGCUAGAGACACCAAACCAACUUUCGCAUGUUCAGGCUAUCCUGUCAAUUGUAAUUGAUCCUUCACAAGCUGGAAUGCACACCACAUUCUCAUCAGGAAAUGUACUUUUCUCGUUUUUAAUUGUAAUCUUUUGUCUGCACUGACUCCUUUUUACGGGCAGGGAUGAGGGAUUAUCUGCACUGUCACCAUAUUGUGCACCAAUGGCGGUCAGUGCCAUUUCUGAUGAGGGAGGAUGAUUUUUUUUUCACAAGCGUGGCCUUAUUUCUAUUACAGCAUGUUGGAUGAAUGUCAUUCAUAAUCCAUUCACCCAGUUCAAUGUAACAUUGAUAUGUUUAGGCUCCUACAUGAUACUCACAUUUUCAUAAGGUUGCAACAACCUAGUCUGAAUGAAAGUUUACAAUGUAGGUGCACACAGGUUGAGAGAAAAAUUUGAGAUGACACCCCGACAGUGACACAUGGACAGACUGUAUCUAGGUUAUCUAGGAUGUAAUCAUUAGUCCAACAGUUGAAAACGAGAGUUUCUAUUGGACAAAUUCCGGUAUUUUUAUCCCGUUUCGUUUGCUUCCGUUUAAGAAACGUUUUUCAACAAAAUCGCUGGAAUGAAUACACCCCUGAUCACGCAAGCACAGUUCACUUUCAUACGUAGCAGCCACGUUGUAUUCAUUCUAGCCUCUAUGCACUCUCCUCUCACCUUUUCACUUUGUUUGUGAACUUCAAUGCACAACACAUCAGCUGUAUAUGACCAGGCAAAAAAAACCUUUCCAAACCAUGACAUAACCGCUACACACAGCCUACCUCAUUGUCCAUAUAUUAGCUACAGUAACAUCCUAGUCAACAUAGCUAAUAUAACUAAUGCGUUAGGCAACACGCUACAAUCAGGCAGUAACUUUACAGUUACAGUGUAAGCAGUUACGCGGGCGGGCCCAGUUUGUGGAAAUAAAUCAAACCAAAAGCUUACCUUGAAUUGGAAGAGUUCCAGUGUUGUGUUGGAUAGUCAUAGGCAGCUAGCUAACAUAGCAUCCCUCUGUUUGUGCUGGUUGUUUGAGUAACUAAACUAGCCAGCUGCAUUUGCUAGCUAAGUAAGUGAAACUGAAAGUGAAAAAAAAGCUUCUUCAUUUUUGAAUAAAUGAAUUUGUCUCUCUUGGAGUCAGCUACUCACUACAUGUUAUACACUGCAGUGCUAACUAGCUGUAGUUUAUGUUUUCAGUACUAGAUUCAUUCUCUGAUCCUUUGAUUGGGUGGACAACAUGUCAGCUCAUGCUGCAAGAGCUCUGAUAGGUUGGAUACUUCCUCCAGAAGUUGUCAUAAUUACUGUAUAAGUCUAUGGAAGGGGUUGAGAACCAAGAGCCUUGUAGGUUUUGUAUUGAAGUCAAUGUACCCAGAGGAGGACGGAAGCUAGCUGUCCUCCGGCUACACCAUGGUGCUACCUUACAGAAUGCUGCUGAGGCUACUGUAGACCUUCAUUGCAAAACCGUGUAUUUUGUUAUUUGGUGACAUGUGAAUAUAUUAUGUAUAGUUUUAUCUAAAAAGGGUAACUUUUUAAAUGUUUUACUAUUUUUAUGAAAUGUACUGACGAGGAUGGUCCUCUUCCUCCUCUGAGGAGCCUCCACUGUUGUGCACCAAUAUGGAUGUUACAUUAGAUGGCUGUUUAGGGCAAACUAAGGGAUUGCCUGAUUGUUCUUAUUUGGGGAGUGAUGAGCCCUCUACGCUGCAAGAUUUUCACAGCACUUUUCCACCAACAUAUUGGAAUGAGAACCAAAUUAAAAUAGGGAUACUACGCAUGGUUAAUGAUUACAAGUGAUUAUAUCAGAGUCUCAGAACUAAAGGUGUGAGAGUGUCUGGGAAAUCAUUUCAAAUGUUUAAUUUCACUCUAUUCUUUCCAGUUUUCACUGUUAUUUUAUUUAACAGUUGGGAAGAGAUUGACUUCAUCACUAUUGGUCUUUGUGUGAGGUAUUGAUGUGUUGGAAGGGACCGAACUGUCUGUUCAAGCAGUUGGCACACAGUUCGGACAUUCAUCGGUACAAGACAUGCAACCAGAGGUCUCUUCACAGUACCCUAAACAGGCUGGGAAACGCACAGCAUUAAAUAGCUAUGACUACAUGGAACUCUCUGCCACCCCAGGUAACUCAAGCUAGCAAUAAAAUCAGUUCAAAGAACACCUUACUACACAAAGGGGACUGUGAAGAGACACAGACAUUUUAUAUAUCUUGAGGUUUAAUUUGCACUGUAUUAUGUAUUAGACCUAGAUAUUGUGUGUAAGUACUGAUACUUGGGCUGUGACAUUUUUAAAUGUAUGUAAUUCAGUCCUUAACUAAUAAUGUUCUGUACUAUGUAUUAUUUCAUGUUGACCUCAAGAAGAGUAGCUGAUGCUUUUGUAGGAUCAGCUACAGUACCAGGAACAUAUUUGUGCUGCUGGAGAAAUACUGCAAUUGUUGUAAUUUAUUUUCACAUAUAAUAAAGAUGUUAUUGCAUUGCCAAGGUUGUGGGUUUGAUUCUCUCUGGGGGCAAACAUACUAAAAUGUAUGCAGAUACUGUACUGUAAGUUACUUUGUAUUUAAGUUAUAUAUACACUACCAGUCAAGUGUGUGUGUGUGUGUG